UGAACGCUGGCGGCGUGCUUAACACAUGCAAGUCGAACGACGCACUUUAUUUGAUUUCCUUCGGGACUGAUUAUUUUGUGACUGAGUGGCGGACGGGUGAGUAACGCGUGGGUAACCUGCCUUGUACAGGGGGAUAACAGUUGGAAACGGCUGCUAAUACCGCAUAAGCGCACAGCAUCGCAUGAUGCAGUGUGAAAAACUCCGGUGGUAUAAGAUGGACCCGCGUUGGAUUAGCUAGUUGGUGAGGUAACGGCCCACCAAGGCGACGAUCCAUAGCCGACCUGAGAGGGUGACCGGCCACAUUGGGACUGAGACACGGCCCAAACUCCUACGGGAGGCAGCAGUGGGGAAUAUUGCACAAUGGGCGAAAGCCUGAUGCAGCGACGCCGCGUGAGCGAAGAAGUAUUUCGGUAUGUAAAGCUCUAUCAGCAGGGAAGAUAAUGACGGUACCUGACUAAGAAGCACCGGCUAAAUACGUG
rnacentral:rRNA from 1 species